CCACGUCAUGUGUAGAGGCUGACAGUGCAGCAUUAACACGAGUGUGAAGACAUGCAUGGUGAGGAUUAGCCUCAGAAUCCAAAAUCUUCAGAGAAGAGAGGAGGAGACAGCAGGAUUCAUCGGGGCUGCAGCUACGCAUGUAUUAUUUUAUAUAAUACAUUCCAGACCAAAUAUGGCAAAAUGAACAGAGAUGGACACGUCAGCGCUCCUUUAAUCGCGCCUCAUGCUUUUCUGUUUGCUUCUGCGUUGUUACUUUGUUGUAAGAUGACAAGGAUAGAAAAUCCUUCCUGUGAGGAGAUCACGAAAGGAACCAACCCGAUUUAAGCACGUUCACGGCCCUCCAGAUUCCUGGAAUGGUUUGGGAAAGAACUAAACCUCAACACUGAACAUGUGCGUCAGACAGUGGUGCUGUGGGCUUUGAGGAUGCAGAAUUGACCUCAGUUGCUGCUGUUGAUGGGCUCGCCCAGCCUGUAAUUUUUUUAAUUAAAGUUUCUUAGUUUUUUUGUG
rnacentral:lncRNA from 1 species